CAACCCUCGAACCCCUCCGGGGGGUCGGCGUUGGGGAUCGGCCCCUCACCGGGCCGCCCCCGAAAUACAGUGGCGGUCUCGCCGCAGCCUCUCAUGCGCAGUAGUUUGCACACUCGCACCGGGAGCGCGGCGCGGCCACAGCCGUAAAACACCCCAAAUUUUCUGAAA
rnacentral:misc_RNA from 1 species